UACAGAGGUCUCAAGCGUUGUUCGGAUUCAUUGGGCGUAAAGGGUGCGUAGGUGGCGGGGUAAGUCAGGUGUGAAAUCUCGGGGCUCAACCCCGAAACUGCACUUGAUACUGCCUUGCUCGAGUACUGGAGAGGAGAUUGGAAUUUACGGUGUAGCGGUGAAAUGCGUAGAUAUCGAGAGGAACACCUGCGGCGAAGGCGGGUUGCUGGGCUGACACUGACGCUGAGGCGCGAAAGCUAGGGGAGCGAACGGG
rnacentral:rRNA from 1 species